CCGAGUUUUCUACUCCCAAACCCCUGUGAACUUAUACCUUUACUGUUGCUUCGGCGGGUUAACGCCCCGGAACGGCCCCCCAAGGCCUCCCGGAACCAGGCGCCCGCCGGGGGACCCAAACUCUUGUUUUAUACAGUAUCUUCUGAGUAACACGAUUAAAUAAAUCA
rnacentral:misc_RNA from 1 species